rnacentral:rRNA from 1 species
AACGAACGCUGGCGGCAGGCUUAACACAUGCAAGUCGAACGCAUGCCUUCGGGGAUGAGUGGCAGACGGGUGAGUAACGCGUUGGAACCUACCCCUUGGUACGGGAUAGCUCCGGGAAACUGGAGAUAAUACCGUAUGUGUCCUGAGGGACAAAGAUUCAUCGCCAAGGGAUGGGCCCGCGUCGGAUUAGCUAGUUGGUGGGGUAACGGCCUACCAAGGCGACGAUCCGUAGCUGGUCUAAGAGGAUGAUCCGCCACAUUGGGACUGAGACACGUCCCAAACUCUUACGGGAGGAAGCAGUGGGGAAUAUUGGACUAUGGGCGCAAGCCCGAUCCAGCCAUGCCGCGUGAGUGAUGAAGGCCAUAGGGUUGUAAAGCUCUUUCAACGGUGACGAUAAUGACGGUAACCGGUGAAGAAGCCACGGCUAACUUCGUG